rnacentral:rRNA from 1 species
UACGGGGGGAGCAAGCGUUGUUCGGAAUCACUGGGCGUAAAGGGCGUGUAGGCGGUUGGGUAAGUGAGAUGUGAAAUCCCUCGGCUCACCCGAGGACCUGCAUCUCAAACUGCCUGGCUAGAGUACGGGAGAGGAUGAGGGAAUUCCUGGUGUAGCGGUGAAAUGCGUAGAUAUCAGGAGGAACACCGGUGGCGAAAGCGCUCAUCUGGUCCGAUACUGACGCUGAGGCGCGAAAGCUAGGGGAGCAAACGGG